AGGUGAUGUGGUCACUCCCUGGGGGACUACUGUCAGGCCCUGGCCAACCACCCUGGGCAGUGUUGUCCCAUCUCAGGAUUGGACUUUCUCAGUUCCUGCAGAGGGCACAGCCUCCAGCCCAGGAGGGGCAGCACCAUGGUGCAGCCCGAGCUCUCCAUGGGCCUGGAGCAUCCCCUGCCAGCCCUGCACUCCCUCUUCUCCCAGGUCCCACUUUUCCAGUAUCAGCCAGCUGGUAGGCCCCCUCCUCCCUUCCCUAUGUGUCUCCUGGGUGGAAACUAGUGGCGGAUUGGGACAGGGAUGGUGCUUCCCUCAGGCCCACUUAGGGAGGGGACUGGCUCCCAGCCUGGUGCAGGUCCUCAGCUCUGCCUUUGUUGCCUCAGAGUGAGAAGGAUCAGUUAGUGCCCUGAAGGUGAAGGUAAGAGAUUGUCCUUGCUGUGUGGGAGGCUGUUCUAGGGAUGGAGGACUUGGCAGGUUCUCCCAGUCUGUCAGGCCUGGACAGCACUGUCCUGUCUCAGGACUCAGAAAGUCCAGUCCUGGGAUGGGACGGUGCUUCCCAGGGUGGGUGGCCAGGGUCUGACAGUAGUACCCCAGGGAGUGACCACAUCACCCAGCCAUGGUCCAGAGGGCCUGGACUGAGACCUGCUGAGUGCACUGAGGGUGCACCUGGAAUCCACUCCACCUGACAUCCCCGCAGCCCUCACAGGGCCUGACCUCCCAGCAUGCACCUGCCUCUGCCUGCACCCCAGCUGUCCACUCUGCCUGUUCCCUGACUUCCUCCAUUCUGUCCAGUAGGAUGAGCUGGUCUUGGGGGACAGCCUAUGUGCACAUUUGGUGGCAAGUAGAAGUGACACACCAUCCCUGGGAGUCACCAUAGUUCCUGCCAAACCCAGCCCCAGAACUCUGCCCCUGAGGUGGUUUUACUAAAUCCCAAACCCAGAACUGUGGUUGUGGCUCAGGGGUCAGCACCUGCUAGUGCCAGGACACUAUUGGGAGGCUGGGACCUGACCAAAACCCAUGGUGCCUGUGGCCUGAGGACAGUGUGUCUUGGGGCCAUAAGGCCAGGCCAACAAUGGCCAUUGUGUCAUAGGGGCUCAGCCCCAGUGUUUAUCCUUCCCUGGCUACUUCUGAUUCAGUCCCAUCAGGGCCCUGGAGCCCAAGACCCAGCAUCCAAGGUCCCCUCCAGGAAUCCUGGUGGCUCAGCUUACUUUAUUGUGUUUCAUCUGACAACAAAAAUGUCAGAUUGGAUGCACAGAAAAAUGACUGGAAGUGCUUAAUGACUAGAAGAAAUCUAGGAGCAGCAAGAAGGUAAUGUGGAGAGGGCAGGAACUCCAUGACUGAUAUCUGCAGAGCCAGGGGUACAGGCACCCAGUGCUGUGUCCUGGCACCACCUGUCUCUCUGAGGUUGAGUAGCACACUGUCCUUACCCAGAGGACAGCAGACCUGGUCACCAGGUUUCGGCCUGUCCCUGCAAGCAUCACAUUGCUGGAAGAGAAUCUCAUGCCAGAGCUGGCACCAUCCCUAGCUCAGGGGUUAGGGGUUGUCUCUUGGUGACCUAAAUGAAAAAAUAGGUCUAGAUCAGAUUUCCCGACGCUGAGCACUCAUCCACUCUUUGAAUCGUGGGAGGGGAGUCCCGGUCCUCGGCUGCUCCUCAAGGGAGACCCCUUUCAGGUAUGGGGCUGGGCAAGGUCAAUCCUGCUGGAUAUCUAGAAGGUGUAAACCAAGGACCUAGGAAAAUACCAGGUACAGACUUUCCACGCUCAUCCAGAGCAGGACAAACAGGCCAGGCGAUGUCAGGAGACCAGGUCUCCAGCUGGAGGGAACGUCAACCCUGCAGUGGGAGCAAGGGCCCAUUGCACAUCCUAGGCACAGAUGGUAACGUAGGCACCACAGGUAAGCUGGGCUUAGUACCCCUUCCUGGCUUCAGAAAGAAGCCAAACAAGGAGCUUUCUGCAGAAUGAAACCUCCUUUCCUUCCAGAAGCACUGCUGACUGGUGCUUGUUGUUUGUGGCAGUGAGCCCUUUGUUCAUUCUGCGGUUGGGCUGCUUUCUCCUCUGGGCCCUGCCCUGCAGAUCAGAAAGGAGAACAGUAAGAGGUCCCCAGCAAACAUCCAGAGAUGGCCCUGGAGAUAAGUCACCUUCUGAGAAACACGUCAUAUUCUAGGAGGGCUAAGGCAUUAAGUAAGUCUUAUGGGGUUGGAGGAUCCCAGGGCAGGUGUGGCAAUCCAUAGCCAUGGGGGCUUCCCACGGGAAUUGGGAGGUCCCAAGGCAGAGUCAGGGGUUCCACAGGAGGAGUCACAGAGCCACCAAGGGCUCUCCUGGCCCAGGAAGCAGUCAAUACCAUGGACUGAACACCUGCUGGCUCCAAGCCCUGGUCCAGGAUGGGGCAUGUGGGGCCUGGAGGGAGCUCAGAGUGGGAGGCAGAGAGAAGUGUGCUCAGAGGGCACCCAUUUCUGCAUGUAACGUGGUCCUGAGAUUUUUGCUGGGAAGGGUUUCCAGGGUUUCAUAUGUGUUAUGGAGCUACUUCCUCUCCCCAGCCUCACCCUGCAGGAAUCCAGUGACUAUAUUGCCGCCAGUGUACCCAUUCCUGAGGGGUGAUGCUUCUACAAGGCCUGUGACUUGGUGCACAACUUCAGACACCAUCAUCCUGAGCAAGUGGGCUUCUCCGGGAUCUUAAUUCAGGAGGUAGAAUGCAGCUUGAGAUCAACUGUCCGAUCAAAGAACUUGAACUUGAUCUGGAGUGCUUUGGGGAGCCAUGGAAGGUGCUGGAUAAAGGAGGGGCCAGUCAGAUACGUGUUAGAGAUGACUGUAGAAGGCUGACUGGAAUGAGUGAACAAGAGCAGACCAGGGAGGGAGCUUGUGGGGGAGGUCUGGAGAUGGCAAGGGAGGGAUCCUGCUUGGAUGAACAGUCUCCAGAGACUGUCUCAGGUUACAAUCAGGUGCCCUCAGAGCUAGUGUGUUCAGAGGUCUUGUCUCCAGGAUGAAAAUGGGAAGGAGUUGUCAGAUGAGGACGUGUAAAUGGAGGCUGGCCUGUUCAUGAAUGCCAGUGGUGGUCCUGGUGUGGGGCUACUAUGAGAACAGGGGUCUCUCCAUCCAGGGACAUGGUGGAUGGACCCUACAUCACUCCAUUCUGCCCUUUCCUUCCCUCCUCCCAUUCUACCGAGGGCCUCACUGCGUUGGCACUCUCCAUCCUCUGGUACUGAAGCAGCCAAGAGACACAAACCUGCCUGGCCACCUUUAGAAUAUGACAGCACAGCCAGUGGCCUCUACUGGAUCCUGUACAACCUCACAAGACCCCCAGACACCAGGAGUGCUGCUAGAACAUGGUGCAAGAGUCCUGAGGGACCACAGUCCUGAAGACAUUGAAUGUUUUUAGGUGAAAAAAACUGGGGCAAAGAGCAAUACAAGAGAGUUGCCGAAAUUCGUUCUGCUUGUCCAGGUUUGAAGCAAGCAGUCUGCACCUAGUGUCCUUGUCUGUAACCAUGGCACCCUGGUUUCUCACACAUCUCAUAAUGGAGUUCCACCUUGUGUCAAGCAUGGCACUGAGCAGUUUAUUUUAAGAACAUAAUUUGUAAUUAUGUAGAUUACUAAUUCUACUUCAAAAUGACACACAGUCUUCAUGUGAUAAAAGGAAACAAUUGGUAAGUGUAAGCAUUGAGAACAAACAUUCUUUUUUCCGCUCCCGACUCCAUUCCAACGUUCAGACAGUGUUUUCUCUGUGCCUGUAGAACCUCAGCUCCUGUGCCGAGGAGCCUGGUCCCUUUGGCAAAGCAGUGUGGCAGUCAGGUGCUGGCAGGAAACUCUCAUCAGCUGACGGGCCAUUAAGAAGGAGCUGUUUACAACGGCGUGGGCAGGAUCAGGGGGAACGAGGAGGGAUGGCACAAGGCCCUGGGGUUAGGGUCAUCUGGGAACUGUCACCACCCCCCAGUCUUGUGGAGCCAUAGAGAAGCUUUCUCAGGAACUCAUAGGGAGAAUCUGCAGCUGAAAGGGGACGCCAGAGGAGACAUCACUCUCUUGCCCUUUGACUGCGUCUGGAUGCCCCUACUGACCAACACUACCAUCCCCUUAUUAGACUGGAGAGGCUGCCGGGAGGGUUUCUAAGCCUCCUAUUGUGGCUCACCUCCAACAGUGAGUCAGCACCGGCUCUCCUGGCCCGACAGCCCAGGUUCCCCUUAGCCGCUCUAUCCUGCAUGGUCCCCUUUCCCGCUGGGAAGCAGAUACCCAAAUGAGCAGCAGAACCCUGUCUCUCCCAGCAGGCCCCUCUGCUCUUUAUGAGUGGUUUUCUGGGUCCCCUCCCUUGGUUUGGGAUGAGAAACACCCUUUUCAAUUCCACAGGGAUUGUUUCUGUGGACUGUACCCUGAGUGUUUCCCUGGUGGGGUAAUGGGCAGGUGGGAGUGGUGGUACCGACUCUUUAGAACCAGCAAUGCCAAACAGAUCCCACUCGGGGAAAGUUCAUGCUAAGUGUCAUGUGUCCUCUGGAAUUUUCUGAAGCUUUCCAGCUUUUUUAUUACCCCCCUAACCAGCUCAUCUGAUUUCCAGGGAUCUCUACUAAGAUGUUGGCAGCCCGGCCAGCUGGUCUGGCCAUGGAUGUGACUUCAGGGGCUGGUUAUGCUUCAUGCACCUGCUUCUAGCUUCACUGUUGGGCCAGAUUUCAUCCCCACCCCAGCUCUGCAGCGCAGCUGCUUCUUGAUUCCUCCAUGGACCCUGCGUGAAAUUACCCCAUGUUUCCCUUUGUGCACCACUGAGGAAGGAAGCAUGAAGGACACACAGCCAUUUUGCAGACCCUGGUCACAGUGAAACAUUCCAUGGGAACUCGGGCUGUGAGAAACAUCCUUCCUAACCACAUGACUGCAGGAACAUCCUUAUCGCAUCCUCCCAGGCAAAGGUCCAACAGCCUGACUGCAGGGACAUCCUUGCCGUUUCCUGCUGGGCAGCAAGCUCUACCACCCAGACCCCUCCCUCCCAUCCCAUGAUUACCUCAGCCUGUGAGCGGCAGUUGGCGCUGGCACUAAGCUGGUUCACCCCUCCUCAGGGUUUUGUUGGCAAUAAAAGUGUUGCUGUUGAAGCC
rnacentral:lncRNA from 1 species